rnacentral:lncRNA from 1 species
GUUCCAUUCUAAACCUGGGAAGAAAGAGCCAACACCCUCACCUAAGCCAGGUGACUGUAUCUGUCUAGGAUCAAAAACAUAACCAAUGUUAUCCAUCUUUCUUCUCCGGAAACUAUUUCCAAGAAGAACAGAAAAUUCAGUAAGCACCACAAAAACGUUCUGGUUCUUGUUUAAAGAGGUUUGAUGUCGCAUUUGCUUUGAAUGUUGAUGUGUUAAUCCACGGAGUUCCUCUAAGGUUUAAAGUCACUGGUUCUAGAGGCUACUUUGUACUAGGAAUAAAAGGCCUUUUAAGGAAAACAUUUGGGUGUAAACAGAGAUGGCGUCUCCCAGCUGCCAAAAUCAACAGCAAAGCUGGUUUCUGAGGCCGGACUGGAGAGGCAGGUUGAGAAGGGCGGAUCUGCGCCUCUGUGGUGGGAGGGGCUCCCCUCAGUGGCCCGGUGGUGGAGAUGCUUCCGAGACGAAAGCACAGAAAGCAAAUGCAGAACUUCCCUGCCUCUCCGUCCUUCCCUCAUUUUGAACAGAGACAGCAGCUACCUGUGACUGCCCUGGGGUGAAUGUGCAGCAUCUGGGGUAAAUUUCUUCCCACGCCUGCCCGCAGCAGUCGAGACAGAAGCUGGCACAGGGCUGCCCUUCUUGUGAGCCAGGCAGCAAAAACCAGGCGCUGAGGCUCAGAACUGCUGACUCAAGCCUCCAUGAAGGAACAGAAAUCCAGAAAGCCGGGCCAGAAAUAGCAUCCGUGAGCAUCUAUUGAUAGCAUAAAGUCCGUGGGCAGAAACCCACAGGCCCAGUCCAAUCAUGAGAAAAGCAUCAGACAAAUUCCAAUAGUGGGGCAUCCUACUAAAUACCCAACCAGAACUCCUUAGAACUGUCAAGGUCAUCAGAAACAAGACAAGUCUAAGAAGAAACAGCCACAGCCAAGAGGCACCUACAGAAACAAAAUGGAAAUGUGGUUUCCUGGAUGGGAUCCUGGAACAGAAAAAGGACAUUAGGGAAAAACUAAGAAAACGUGAAUCAACUAUUGUAUUAGUUCAUUUUCUGUUGCUUAUAGCAGAAUACCUGAAACUAGAUAACUUAUAAAGAAAAGUAGUUGUUUUCUUACAGUUAUGGAGUCUGAGA